ACGGAGGGUGCAAGCGUUGUUCGGAAUCAUUGGGCGUAAAGCGCGUGUAGGCGGUUUCUUAAGUCUGGUGUGAAAUCCCGGGGCUUAACCCCGGAAGUGCAUUGGAUACUGGGUGACUGGAGGACGGGAGAGGGAAGCGGAAUUCCUGGUGUAGGGGUGAAAUCCGUAGAUAUCAGGAGGAACAUCGGUGGCGAAGGCGGCUUCCUGGCCCGUGCCUGACGCUGAGACGCGAAAGCGUGGGGAGCAAACAG
rnacentral:rRNA from 1 species